rnacentral:rRNA from 1 species
GACGAACGCUGGCGGCGUGCUUAACACAUGCAAGUCGAGCGGUAAGGCCCUUUCGGGGGUACGACGAGCGGCGAACGGGUGAGUAACACGUGGGUGACCUGCCUCUAGCUCUGGGAUAAGCCUGGGAAGCUGGGUCUAAUACCGGAUAUGACCUCGCGGUGCAUGUUGCGGGGUGGAAAGCCUUGUGCGGCUAGGGAUGGGCCCGCGGCCUAUCAGCUUGUUGGUGGGGUGAANGGCCUACCAAGGCGACGACGGGUAGCCGGCCUGAGAGGCGACCGGCCACACUGGGACUGAGACACGGCCCAGACUCCUACGGGAGGCAGCAGUGGGGAAUCUUGCGCAAUGGGCGAAAGCCUGACGCAGCGACGCCGCGUGAGGGAUGACGGCCUCGG